rnacentral:lncRNA from 1 species
GCUGACGAUUGGCUUUGGGAUACUAUUCCCAACAUAAUCAAUAACCAUAGUAUUUAGAAAUAUCAAUUUUUUAAAUCACUUGCUAUUCAAAAUAUAAUUUCAUAAAUCAUGCAUCAUUCAAAAAAUAAUUAUUUACUUUAAAAUAAAUUAUGAAAUAUCUUGAGAAGAUGGUUUAUCAUUUACAUUUUACAGAAUACUGAAUGAA